UACAGAGGGUGCGAGCGUUGUUCGGAAUUACUGGGCGUAAAGCGCGCGCAGGCGGCCUUUUAAGUCUCGUGGUGAAAUGCCGGGGCUCAACCCCGUGCCCGCCGGAGACUACUGGGAGGCUGGAGACAUGUAGAGGCAAGCGGAAUUCCGGGUGUAGCGGUGGAAUGCGUAGAGAUCCGGAAGAACACCGGAGGCGAAGGCGGCUGCUGGGCAUUGUCUGACGCUGAGGCGCGAAAGCGUGGGGAGCGAACAGG
rnacentral:rRNA from 1 species